CCGGCCGCAGCGUCCGAAAUAGCGGCUGUGGCCUCUCCCGGCGCGGUCAGCGAGAAGGGUGUCAGCUGUGAGAGCCGCCUGGAUCUGCAUCCCCCGCACGGGAGGAUGGAAUGGAUUCAUGGAUGACUCCUACAUCCAAGUAUCCCUUCUAAAACAGUUCUUCCUGCUCUUUCAUCAUCGUUACACCUCUCCUGCACUGUGCUUUGCUGUCCCAGUCAGUGUUUCAUUGCCAGGGAACUGCCUGCACUUCACAGAGAUACAGCAGAUGUCACCCAUUCAUGGUGGAGCUGCAGGUUCCUGUCCUGUCUCACGGAGCUUUGCUCUGGGGCUGGAUGAGAGACUGCUUUUCAAUCACUCUUCAUUGUUUGGGCCAGAUAAUCCACCACAGUUGAAGCCACAACUCUUCCCUGUUUGUGCUGCCUGUCCCACCUGCGGUGUGAAGGGAAACCUGCUUUAUCAACAAGAAUAAUGUCUUAAACUGUGUCCAUCCAGAUAAAAAGCUCUAAUACUCUUAAAUAGAAUACACUGAUUUAAAUCCUAAACUUCCUUCAGCAACCUCAGACUCGUCCUGCACUUAGGCAAAACCAAAAUAACUGUACAGCAAAAAUUCAGGCUACUGAAGGAUGACAAAUGUUGGAGGAAAAGUGAGAAAUUAUUUUCAGAGGUGGGGAAACUGAAGGCAGACGCCUCCUGAUGUGAGACUGGGCAAAUUGGGAAACGUGGAGGCUGGAACCGUCUCCAGAGUGUUUGGUUCUUUCUGCUGCUCAUUUGCAGUUCAGGGUGAGCACCUGAAGAAUGCAGCCUUGUCACAGGAGAACACGUCCUGGAGCACCACACAGAUAUAAAAGAGGGAAACAACAACACAUCUUUAAUUAAUGAGAGAUUCUGUCCCUGUGGGUCCAUCUCUCGUGUCUCAGAUGAUGCAUCAAACUUAGUCUGUCCUGCCCUGCCAUGCAGCCAGCCAGGCCUCUGGCAAGAGAUUAUCCCCUGGAUGUCAAACAGCAACUCAGGCCCCAGAAAUCACAUCAGCCCAAGGAUAAACAGCAUAUCAACAAAACCAUUAACUGCAGCAGUAACAAACACAUUCACUCCCCGUCCUUUGCUCCCCCUUCCUGAGCCAUUAGACCCCAUUUUCAAACACUUCUGGAAAUAGGAAAUAGACCCUGGGAUUCCCUCCUGGCCAGGGCUGUGAGAGGUAUCACAGGAGCCCUGAUGAAAUGGCAAGCACUGAAAUACAAGAACAGAUUUCUGUUCUUUUGUGAAGAAAUUGAUUUUUGCCAGAAACAACAUGCUGUAACCCAGCGUCUAUUCUUGUUAGACUUCAAGUCCUUCCAGGAGGAGUCCUUCAGCAAAUUGGCUCAUUUAGACACAACAGCCAGGAGCAUGGAGAGGAAAAAAAGGGUUUUGUUCAAGGAAAGCCUCUGUAUUGUAAACAGGAUAAAAGGGGAUGGAGAGAGUCACUUAUCACUGUCUCUCAUGUCCCCAGGUCAUUCCUGUGUAGCAUCUACUGGAGAAAAUAUUCCCUGCUCUUCCAGAAAUCCAACUGGGGGAUUUUCUCUAUCACACCAUCUGCAGACCCUGUGUGCAUUCAGCAGCAGCUUUCAAACCCCAUUGCUGCUCCCCAUUGCUCUCCUCUGCCUUGAGAAGCCUGGCAGCACCCAAAGGAGAGCUGGAUUCUCACAGGUCUCCUUUGCCUGGACCAGCCUGUGUCCCCCUCACAGCCGUGGGACUUGGGGUUCAUUCCAAAAACACCGAUGCUCUGUUUAAUAGCAGACCCCAAUGAUGCAUCUCUCCCUGUUUCUCUGAGCAUGAUCCCACCAGGCACAAAAACUCUGCCCCCCUUCCUCUUUCUCUUCCCCCUCCCUCUCGUUUUGGGGCACUCUUUGCAUGCUUUGCUGAUACAAAUAACUGUGGCUUUCAAAACAAAGGAGUGCCGAACCCCAGGGCAUUCUUCCCGGGAGAGACUUUUGGAUGAGUGUUUGAUGGAGACUCCUGAGAGUCCAGCUGCAGGCCAUGGGCUGCAUGUCCCAGCUGUGACAGGCUCCUGGACACAAGGCAGACCUCACAGCACGCCUCUCAGCACUUCCAGCUUGGGGAAGGGGGAAAACGAGAAGGGGAGACAUGACAAGAAUGUUGGAGACCCAUCUAUCAAAUUUCUCGUCCUCUUGGGUGAUGUGCUGGACCCAGGUCUCCCUGGGCAAGGAGCUUUUUAAAGACACAUUGCACCUUCCUGCUCAUCUUCCCAAAUUAAGAACAUUUCAUCACAACUGUCACAGUUUUGGGACUGAUCUGUAGCCAUGAGAGUCACAAAAGCACAGACUAUCAUUUCAUUCUGCAUAAAUAUCCCAGGGAAAGGGAUAUGGAAAGGAAGGGGAAGGCUAGGCCAAUGGAAGAAGGAGUCAAGGAACAUCUCUGUGACUUCACUCCCUCCCUCCCUUCUGUAAUGAUGCCAGGGAAAUAGGGCAGGAAUAGGAAUAGGGAUAAAAACAAAAUAUACUCAGUGGUGAGGAAUACUGCAGCAUCCCCUAACCUGAGGGAUCUUUGAGACACAAAUGGCUGGAGGUUUGAAAAAUAUUCUGGGCAAGUGUGUUUUCCUCAUGCUUUCAUCCUUCCCUGGUGGCAGCCACACAGGAUUGCUGGAGGUGAAAUACUGACCUUGGUGGGUUUUUGGUGCAGGCAGCACAUGCCUCUGUUAGUAGCCCCACACCUCCACUGCACUAUAAAUGUUAUAUUAUCAUAAUAAUUGUUAAACACGACUCAGUUCUCCAUGUAGGACUGAGUUCCUCGUGCCUUUUCCCUGCUGAUCCUGCCUGUUUGACCUUAUCAAUGAAAUUCAGGAAACAGGAGCAAAAAGCCUCCUCCAAGAGAGCCAAGGAGGCAGAAGGGGCAAGAAAUUGCAUUGCCUUCCCCAGACAGUGCACAAAUGAAAUUCCAAUAAUCCUGUCACUACUCCUUCCUUUUGCCCAGCAUCAGGAUCCUGUUAGGGUUCAGCCUUCAGCUUAAAUGGCAUCCCCCCUCAAUUCCAAAUCCCACAGAAAUCUCUGAGUUUUGGCCUAAAAAGCUCUGCUUUUGAAAAUCUUUUGAAUUUAUUUACUGGCAACCCUGUUUGAUACAUAAAUGUAUUACAGCAGAAUCUGUCUGGGCACUAUGAACCCUGCACUGGAUGCAUAAUGUAACACUUAUAAAGGAAAAUCUUAAAAUCUCUGAGCAAUACCAUGUGCCAUUAUCCUGAUUUUUCCAGGGGUCAGUUCCCUGACAGGCAGUCUCUCUGAAAU